rnacentral:rRNA from 1 species
GACGAACGCUGGCGGCGUGCUUAACACAUGCAAGUCGAACGGAAAGGCCCUGCCUUUGUUGGGUGCUCGAGUGGCGAACGGGUGAGUAACACGUGAGUAACCUGCCCUUGACUUUGGGAUAACUUCACGAAACUGGGGCUAAUACAGGAUAGGAGCUCCUGCUGCAUGGUGGGGGUUGGAAAGGUUCGGCGGUUGGGGAUGGACUCGGGGCUUAUCAGCUUGUUGGUGGGGUAGUGGCUUACCAAGGCUUUGACGGGUAGCCGGCCUGGGAGGGUGACCGGCCACAUUGGGACUGAGAUACGGCCCAGACUCCUACGGGAGGCAGCAGUGGGGAAUAUUGCAAAACGGGCGGGAGCCGGAUGCGAUGGCGCCGCGUGCGGGAUGACGGCCUUCGGGUUGUGAACCGCUUUCGCCUGGGACGUAGCGUGGGUGACGGUAAUGGGUAAAGAAGCACCGGCUAACUACGUG